UUUCCGUAGGUGAACCUGCGGAAGGAUCAUUAAAAAAGAUAUAGAAUUUCAGAUUCUUAAACCCCUGCAGUGUACUUGUUUUCGUUGCUUCCGUGGGUAGCAGGCCUUGCGCUUGCGACCACCUCCAUGGUGGACCCGCGGGAGAUAAUUAAAAACUCCGUCUUCAUGUGGUAUCAGUCUGAGCUUGUUUACUUCAUAAACGUUAAAACUUUCAACAACGGAUCUCUUGGUUCUC
rnacentral:misc_RNA from 1 species